rnacentral:rRNA from 1 species
UACAGAGGGGGCAAGCGUUGUUCGGAAUUACUGGGCGUAAAGGGCGCGUAGGCGGCCCGCUAAGUCGAACGUGAAAUCCCCGAGCUCAACUCGGGAACUGCGUCCGAUACUGGCGGGCUUGAAUCCGGGAGAGGGAUGCGGAAUUCCAGGUGUAGCGGUGAAAUGCGUAGAUAUCUGGAGGAACACCGGUGGCGAAGGCGGGUUGCUGGGCUGACACUGACGCUGAGGCGCGAAAGCUAGGGGAGCGAACGGG